rnacentral:rRNA from 1 species
UACAAAGGAGGCAAGCGUUAUCCGGAAUUAUUGGGCGUAAAGCGUCCGUAGGUGGUUUGAUAAGUCUUGGGUUAAAUACCGGAGCUCAACUCUGGAUCGGCGCUGGAAACUGUCAGACUUGAGUGAGGUAUAGGUUGACGGAAUUGCCGGUGUAGCGGUGAAAUACGUAGAUAUUGGCAAGAACACCAGCGGUGAAAUCGGACUACUGGGCUAUUACUGACACUGAGGAACGAAAGCAACGGGAGCGAAGGGG